GGGGGUGCACUGGUUUCGACGGGGAUGGAUGAGCGUAUGGUAAGCGAGCCGCGGCCCCUGAACCGCGCAACAACGGGGAAAUAAAACAACUGACAACAAUCAGCAAUUAGCUUUCGCGGCUUAAUGCCGCGUCGUCGGCCUGAAGCGCUCACGGCUUGAGCAACCGGCGUCAUUGAUGUGAGGAACAGGUCUGCCUAAGCUUUGCGGCGGUACCGGUAUCAUGAAGCUACCAACCCCGGAAGCCUGCCUGCUGGCGUCCGGAAAAGGGAAUGUUAAAUAACAGGCUGUGCUCGGAGAAAACCAUAUGAGCAUGUCUUCGGACAGGGGUUCGAUUCCCCUCACCUCCACCA
rnacentral:tmRNA from 1 species